UACGUAGGGUGCAAGCGUUAAUCGGAAUUACUGGGCGUAAAGCGUGUGCAGGCGGUUUUGUAAGUCUGAUGUGAAAUCCCCGGGCUCAACCUGGGAAUUGCAGUGGAGACUGCAAGGCUAGAAUCUGGCAGAGGGGGGUAGAAUUCCACGUGUAGCAGUGAAAUGCGUAGAGAUGUGGAGGAACACCGAUGGCGAAGGCAGCCCCCUGGGUCAAGAUUGACGCUCAUGCACGAAAGCGUGGGGAGCAAACAGG
rnacentral:rRNA from 1 species